AGCAGCCGCGGUAAUUCCAGCUCCAAUAGCGUAUAUUAAAGUUGCUGCAGUUAAAAAGCUCGUAGUUGAAUUUCGGGACUAAUAUGUCGGUCGUGCCUCGGUACGUACUGGCUUAUUGGUUUCUCCUUUCUGAAGAACCAUGAUGUCAUUUAUUUGGUGUCGUGGGGAAUCAGGACUGUUACUUUGAAAAAAUUAGAGUGUUUAAAGCAGGCAUUAGCUUGAAUACAUUAGCAUGGAAUAAUGAAAUAGGACGUUCGAACCUAUUUUGUUGAUUUUUAGGAUCAACGUAAUGAUUAAUAGGGAUAGUUGGGGGCAUUAGUAUUCAAUUGUCAGAGGUGAAAUUCUUGGAUUUAUUGAAGACUAACUACUGCGAAAGCAUUUGCCAAGGAUGUUUUCAUUAAUCAAGAACGAAAGUUAGGGGAUCGAAGACGAUCAGAUACCGUCGUAGUCUUAACCAUAAACUAUGCCGACUAGGGAUCGGAUGAUGUUAAUUUUUAAUGACUCAUUCGGCGCCUUACGG
rnacentral:rRNA from 1 species